GCUACGGGAUGCAGCAGUGAGGAAUAUUGGUCAAUGGACGCAAGUCUGAACCAGCCAAGUAGCGUGCAGGAUGACGGCCCUCCGGGUUGUAAACUGCUUUUAGUUGGGAAUAAAACGUUCCACGUGUGGGAUUUUGUAUGUACCAUAUGAAUAAGGAUCGGCUAACUCCGUUCCAGCAGCCGCGGUAAUACGGAGGAUCCGAGCGUUAUCCGGAUUUAUUGGGGUUAAAGGGAGCGUAGGUGGAUUGUUAAGUCAGUUGUGAAAGUUUGCGGCUCAACCGUAAAAUUGCAGUUGAAACUGGCAGUCUUGAGUACAGUAGAGGUAGGCGGAAUUCGUGGUGUAGCGGUGAAAUGCUUAGAUAUCACGAAGAACUCCGAUUGCGAAGGCAGUUCACUGGACUGCAACUGACACUGAGGCUCGAAAGUGUGGGUAUCAAACAGGAUUAGAUACCCCAGUAGUC
rnacentral:rRNA from 1 species